rnacentral:lncRNA from 10 species
ACUUGAAACAUUCUGAGUGUGCCUGCAGUAGGGUCUCAGAGGAGUUGCUCUGAAAGCUGUUGAGAGCAGCCACCUUUGCUGUCACUGAGAGCUUGGCAGGGUCAGCUCUGGUGGGCCGUUUGCACCCAGGCUCUGAUGGCACCAGGAUGGCUUCCUGCAACCCGGAACCUGAUCCUGGCCCCCGGCAGAGCAUAAGGGCCCGAGGCCAGGGACCUAGAGGCCGGACCAAGUUCGCGCGAGGUGUUCACAGCCUAGGCGCCCCGGGCUUGGCUUCGUACUCUGCAACAAGCCAAGCUCCCUUGCCACGAGUAUAUCAGCAACUUCAGAAAUAAACACCAGCGAAACCCCUUCCCACAUUAGCUUGUUGCUGUGCUACUGACACUGGGCUUAGUCGAUGUUCACACCUAUUACAUUUUUCCGGAAAGUGGGAGGAGCAGGGGGUAGAGAAAGCUGUGUGUAUUGAGGGAAGGGGAGAUGUGUGCAACACCUUCCAGAAAAAUGGGGAGGUAGUUUAGAAAGUUUUUCUCUGUAACAGCACAGCUUCUGAGAAGGCAGAGAGAAGAAAGCAGACAGGAAACGAAUCCCUUCCUCCUCUCCCCUUUACCCCCUUCCUUCACUCCCUAGACCAAGCUGGUCACCCGGCUGGGAAUCAAGAUUGUGUGGCUGGGAAGACACCAGUCUCUGUGCUCGGGUUCAGCCCAGUCGGGCAAGAAAGUCUGGGCAGCUGGAGAAGGUCGUCACAGUCUCCCGUGGAAUCUUGUUGCCUGAGAGCCCCAUAACGGAAAGGGCUAAGACGACUCUUCCACACACAGGUCGCAGCCCCUGCCGCGGAGGAUCCCCAGGAAGAUGCUGGGGACGCUCUGAGCAUCGGCCUUUCUUUACCCCCGACUCCCUGGAGCUUGGUCUCGGGAUGCCAACUUGGGGCACGGAGGCGACGGGCUGCUCCGAAGCUGGAGGGUUUCUGCUUGGGUCAGAGGGAUCACGACCUCAGCAGAGCCAGGAGAGGUUGGGUGACACCCACUGCGUAUUGCACUUGACUCAAAACUGCCCUCGGCCUGCGGAAGAGGCGAGGGCAAGAAGCCUGGUGGCGGGUCAAACCUUCACCCUAUUAUUUUCUAUCAUUUUUUAUGCCCAUAUAUUUGUUAAAUGUAUGGCUGCUAUACACCAACAGCUUAUUCUACAAGAAGUGCCCCCGAGGAGGAUUGGGUUAAGCUUUGCAAAUUUGGCUUCCCAGGUAAUGCGCUUCAUUAUUCUGCUCCCGACUUACCCACCACACCAGUGGGUACCCGGAGCAGCACCCACUUGGCAGAACUGAUGACUGCUUGGGCCCAGCGGAGUGCGCAUUGCGCUAACACGCGCACGGGAAUUGCACCCUUGCCGGAGCCUCCGCACCGUGCGCCCUUCAAAGAGCUGGCGACCCCGCUCACGUGUAAGCAACCUCCCACUUUGAAACUAAUUCGCACCCGGGUCUUUCACCCCAAAGGACUUUGCUGCGGACGCUGCUCUGACCCAAGACGCGGGAGAGAAGUCCCAAAGGCUACAGCCAGGGGCUGGGGGACUCCUCUGCUCACCUUAGUCCUUGAUUUCGAAGGCCCCAAUUAACUAUCUGUUGUGUCAGAAUCGGCGAGUGCAAAGUAGCUGCGCCCCGCUGACGCGCUCUCUCCUGGGUCCGGGUAUCCCAGGGCAUCCGGAGCUGGGGAGGGUUGUGCGGACUACCCAAGGCACGCGCAGAUACCGGGCAGGGAAGAAGGGCUCCGUGUUCCAAGGAUGGUCGUUUACCUCUCCUGAGAUCAGCCCUAAUCCCUUGGUAACUUAAGCGCCUCUGAACUCGGGGAGCGCUUGGUGGGGCGCCUCCCUGCAUCCACCCCUACCCCUGGCUCCUUCCCAGGCCCAGCAUCUUUCCCACCAUUCUCACCCCCACCACCCCCACGGCCCCGCCCGUUUAGAGGCGUGCGGUGGGCACUUGGUUUACAGAACCGGCGUUUCAGAUGUUUAUUUGCAACUAAUUUCUUGUGCUGGAAAAUGCUUGUUACCCGGGCGGAGCGCUUCCGCUCUGCGCGGUCCGGCCCGGCGGGCGGUAGCUCGCUGAUCCCUCCGGCGAAGCCUCCAAGGAGCGGGCGGCUGGGAGAGGUUGUGCCACCCGGGACCAAGCCAUCGGCGCUGCUCCGGACUCCCGGUAGGGGGAGCCGCCGCGGGCGCCAGGCCGGAUUGUGUUCUGGCCUCGGGGCGGCCCUGCUGCCAGCGGCCGGGACUCUCAGCACAGAGCUCGGGAGGACUCCACCUGCUCUCCAGAUAAGGCGCCAUGAGCAGAGAAGGGAACAGACGGCCAAGCUCCCUCCUAAUUCCCCGUUGUUGCAGAGCAAAGAAGAUGGGGGAGAACUAAUUAUAUUCUCUAGGUCUAAAUAUUGUUGAAAAAUUUGUAGGUGAGAUCACCUCCUUUGCCCAUAUCCAUAUAUAAUAUAUCCAUUACAUGUGUUUGCCCAUAUAUAUACGUAUGCCAUAUGUAAAUAUGUACGAGUGUGUAUGUAUGUGUAUAGCAGUGGUUUAGAAUUAGUCUCAGUUCCACAAAUUUUGAGCCCUUUUAAUAUUUUAGGUGACCUAAUACCUUCUCACUGUAUUUUCCAAGUCACUUAUUUCCAAGAGUUUUAGGUGAUCCCAGCAUAGGAGCUGAGCAUAGGAGCUCAGAUGAGACUUGCCAGUUUUGCUGCAGUAAUGUCAGCAAAAGAGUCUCUCUCUUUCUGACUCUAUAGACUUAAGUAAGGGUUUACAGGCUUUCAUUUUAAGGUAUGACUGAUAUUUAGAGAACAAGACUAAACCAAGGUCAAGGGGAAAACAGUUAGACUGUGAACCUGCAGACCACUCCACUGCACCCAGUGUGGCCGUACACCUGUGCUGAACGGCCAGAGACUUCCUGGUCAAUACUCCCACAGAUAAAAGACUGCAGGAUCUGCUUAUACACAAAUCCAUCUUUCGCUGGGAACCCACAACUCAUAACAACUCUCCUAAUGCCAAGUCAUCAAGGCCUCUUGAAAGAGAAUCAUAAAAAACAAAGAAUUUCAAACUUGGAAGGAAACCUAAAGUUUACUGGUGAGGAGCUUGAACUGAGUAGAAGCAAAGAAUCAUACUCCAGAUGAGAAACGCCCCAUGCACUGAGCUGAGACUGGAACUCUCCUCUUCUUACUCUCAGUCCAGUAAGUUUGACUACAGAGCACUCAUUAUCAUUGUGAUUAUUAUGUUCCCGCAUAUUUUGUCGUUCUUAGUUAGGCAUACUCCUUUAACACUAUUGUAAUAAAAGCAAAAUCUGGAAGAUCUUUAA